ACAAAACUUUUGUUUUCAAGUUUUAUUGUGCAAAGACAAAGUUUCAAUUGCACUUUCGUUUUUCUUCAACCGUGAUGAUGUAUGCAUGACAAGAUGGAUCGACAACUCAUUUCCCGUUACAGAACAACAGAAAAGCUGGAAAUUCUGCUCUAUCUCAAGUUGGCAGGCGGUCGGGACUGGGAACCAGCUAGCUACGGUCUACGGAGACGCACAUACGACGCGCC
rnacentral:lncRNA from 1 species